UACGUAGGCAGCGAGCGUUGUUCGGAGUUACUGGGCGUAAAGAGUGCGUAGGCGGUUUUCUAAGUUUGGUGUGAAAUCUCCCGGCUCAACUGGGAGGGUGCGCCGAAGACUGGAAGGCUAGAGUAUGGGAGAGGUAAGCGGAAUUCCUGGUGUAGCGGUGAAAUGCGUAGAUAUCAGGAGGAACACCUGCGGUGUAGACGGCUUACUGGACCAUUACUGACGCUGAGGCACGAAAGCGUGGGUAGCAAACAGG
rnacentral:rRNA from 1 species